rnacentral:tRNA from 1 species
UAUAUUAUGGUGUAAAAUAUUUGCAUAGUAAAUUUUGAUUUUAUAGGAAGUAGUUAAAUUCUGCUUAAUAUAA